AAAUUGAAGAGUUUGAUCAUGGCUCAGAUUGAACGCUGGCGGCAGGCCUAACACAUGCAAGUCGAGCGGAAACGAGUUAUCWGAACCUUCGGGGGACGAUAACGGCGUCGAGCGGCGGACGGGUGAGUAAUGCCUAGGAAAUUGCCCUGAUGUGGGGGAUAACCAUUGGAAACGAUGGCUAAUACCGCAUGAUGCCUACGGGCCAAAGAGGGGGACCUUCGGGCCUCUCGCGUCAGGAUAUGCCUAGGUGGGAUUAGCUAGUUGGUGAGGUAAGGGCUCACCAAGGCGACGAUCCCUAGCUGGUCUGAGAGGAUGAUCAGCCACACUG
rnacentral:rRNA from 1 species